AGAAAUAAAUUGUAUAAUUGUAAAUGACUGAAUGUAAAUUGGUGGAAGAUAAAUUGCUGAAAUGUAAAGAACAAGAAAGUAAAAUGAAGUGCAGAAAAUAAAAAGCAAGAAUAAACUUAGAACAAUGUUAACUUUGAUUCAAUCAAAAACAAGUUGACAAGAUUCCAAGAUGAUUACAAAUCUGAUGGAGGACCUUUCGUUUGCCUUUAGUUUGACUUCAUUGCAACUUAACUUAUGAUCGAAAUACUGGACAUGAGUCAGUAAGGACCGUGUGCUUUUUUCCAACUAUUCAUUUUUCUUGCUUUUCUUCAAUUUCUUUGCUCCUACCUAUGCCAAAUGCUCUCAUUUCUUCAUUACUUGUCCUGAAAAUAAAAAAUCAAAGUAUUUGUAGUAAAAGAACUCUAAACUAUGAUGAAAACUAACGAAACUUUAUUGAAUUUGAAUGCUAAAAACGACAUAAAAUUGUAAAAGAUAAUGGUGGAGGAUAUUUUGGAUCAAAAUUAACGAAACUUUCUUCAAUUUGAAUGUCAUACCUGUCUUAUAAAAUUUUAAAAGACAAUGGUGGAGGAGAUUUUGGAUCUUUAUCUUUUAGAUUUAUCAGUUGAAAGAUAAAAUAAAAUCAAAACACAGAAAGUAAAACAGGGCAUUAAGUGUUCUUUUUACUCUUAAUUACAAUAUUAUAAGUGAAGUUUGAUAACUCAACUCAAUAGACUAAUGCUUACUCCUCUCUUAACUUCUGCACUAUCACCUAACUCCCCUUAUGUAACGUCUGAGGCUGACGAGGCAACCGAAUCACAUUGAAAUGAAAGGGAUUCUGAGACUGUGUAGGUAUGGGACAACAUGGUUGAAGGAAGACUUAUAAGAAUUGUUUGGUUACUGCCUAUAUCAACAAGAUGCAUCUUCUUUUCGGUAGCACAUUCCAUAAGAACUCCACAGUUAAGCAUGCUUGACUUGGAGUAGCUAGUCUUUGGAUGGGUGGCCUUCUGAGAAGUUUCCCAAAAAACGUGGAGUCAGUCG
rnacentral:lncRNA from 1 species